AUUGAACGCUGGCGGCAGGCCUAACACAUGCAAGUCGAACGAGUGGCGGACGGGUGAGUAAUGUCUGGGAAACUGCCCGAUGGAGGGGGAUAACUACUGGAAACGGUAGCUAAUACCGCAUACCAUCGGAUGUGCCCAGAUGGGAUUAGCUAGUAGGUGGGGUAAAGGCUCACCUAGGCGACGAUCCCUAGCUGGUCUGAGAGGAUGAACAGCCAUACUGGAACUGAGACACGGGCCAGACUCCUACUGGAGGCAGCAGUGGGGAAUAUUGCACAAUGGGCGCAAGCCUGAUGCAGCCAUGCCGCGUGUAGGAAGAAGGCCUUCGGGUUGUAAAGUACUUUAAGUUGGGAUGCGUUACCAACAGCAUAAGCACCGGCUAACUUCGUGCCAGCAGCCGCGGUAAUAC
rnacentral:rRNA from 1 species